AUUACAGGCCUGAGCCACCGCACCCAGCCCAGUGAGCAUCUUCAUGACCAUUAUUUUGAAUUCUCAUAUGUGGUAAAUCAUUUAUCUCCAUUUCAUUACAGUCAAUCUCUGGAGAGUUGUCUUUUUCUUUUAUUUAGAACACAUUUUUAUAUUUCUUCACUUUUCUUCAUCCUGUAUUGGUUUCUUCACAUUAAACAACCACCUCUCUCAGUCUUCACAGACUGGCCUAAUAUAAAAGAGACUUACCAGUUAGUCCAGCCAGAGAUCCUGCCUGGGUCCCCCUCAAAUCUUCAUGGUCAUCUAGACCAUCAUCUUUGUUCUUAGUGGCCCCCAGAAGGCUAGAGUAUGCCAAGUCCCAUUAGUAUCCUAAAACGGGCAAGACAGGAGCCAGUCCCUCAUGUAGCAGCUGGAAAAGUUGGGAUGUUAGAUAGGUAGUCCAAUCCUUUCUCUCCUCAAGCAGAAGCUGUGAGCUGGAAUUUAUCAUCAUUUGCUCAGCACUGAGCCAGGAAGGAUAGCUGGGGCAAAUGCCUGCACUCUCAAAGUACACACUUUUCAAACCAUUGCUUUGCUAUCUGUCACCUCCAGGGGCUUAGCAAAUGCUAGCCAAUAACUCUGAGAGACAGGCACUUUAACUGUAGGCUUGUUUCUGUCUCUGGAGUGAGCCCCAGAAAAGAGGUGCCCACAUACCUAUUCGGCCUGGUGACAAAGCGAGACUCCAUCUCAAAGAAAAAAAAAAAUACACAAAAAUCAUCCCAAUUUUCUAGAGCUUACAUUUAGUAAACAUCAACAGAGGUUUUUACCAACAGUCUGGUUUUUCAGCUUAUGUUCAUUUGCCCACUUAUUUGGUAAUUCCUUCAUCGGCAUUAUAUAUCUUAACAUCAUUCUGGUAGAGUGCAAAGGAUGUAGUAUAUCCCAUUGCUCUUUAACACAUAACUGGCUUCCACUUACAUCUUCCCAGAUAUUUCCCAGAUUAUUCUGUGUUCUCUCUCAAGUGUCCUUCAUUCUAGUACAGGAACACAGUAUUCCUGCCUAGUCAGUAUUAGAAAUUAGAACUAAGGGCACAAGCUAUAGUUUUAAGGGCAUGCAUGUGCCAAGAGGAACAGAGCCAUGCUGUAUUGAAGGGUAUGGGAGUGACAUUUUUAAGACAUGGGGAGCAAGGUAGGAUCUCACACUUGGGGAACAGAGUUCGCAUACUUACCAUGUCACUAAAUUUCCUGCCAAUAGGGAGAGAGGCAGGAAUCACAGGGUUCUACUGUUGAGGAGAAGGCUAGGAUGGGCCUCGGUGUAAAAAGGCACUGUUGAACACAGAGUGUAAGCAAACGAUGAAAGCUGAAGAACAUUUCUGGCAGGCAGAAACAGAAAGAAGGUUAAGAGAAAAAAUAGAAGGUAACCUGGGAACAUAAGCAAUAGAAGUGAAAAAAAAGGCUGUGAUUCCAGGGGAGAAUUCAGGAGGGGGAAUGUUGAGUCUACAGAACAUCAGAAAAAAUUUUUACUUCUCUUGACAUCACCAAGGAAUGUAUUUGACAUGUGGUGUGGCUUAUUAUUUUUCCUUGCUGUUAACAGAUACUCAUUUUGAUCCUGCUACAUGUAAAGCACUGUGACAAAUGUGGUGGGAAAUUAAGAAUUCAGGCUGAUUGUCCUGUAGGGACUUUUAAUCUAGAUGGAGAGACAAGAUAUAUGCCCAGGAAAAGCUUAGUAGCAAUACAAGGCUGUGUAUGAUUGUGUUCAAGUAAGUGAUUCAAAUAAGAAGAUCAAAGAGAAAGAUCUCAGUUCUUACUGGUGAGGGACACAGGGUCAGUCUGUGACCCCAAGAGGAUUUGGUUGGGGUAUGAGAAGGAGGGAAAGUCCUGGAAACUAAGUAGGAGUCAAGACAAGGAGACUGGCGUUGGUGGGUGUUUAAGAAUGGAAGAAAUCCCAAAGGGACUGAGAAAAUCUAAGUCAUUUGACCCCUUUUAUUUUUUUUACCCAGUGCUUGUUUGUGUGAAGCCUGGAAUAAUUAGACUCUGUGACAUUCUAACCCUCACCUGCACUCUCACUGGUUCUGCCAUUCUGUGGUUGGCUUUCAACCUCUUGACCUGAGUGAAGACAGACAUCUCAGGCAGUUCCCUACUCUGCUCAGUGCUCUCUUUGUAAUCUGCAGUGGUGAGGUCACAUGUUGGAUUCUUCUAUCUAAAUCAAGAAUUCUCUGCUUCUUCAGCUGUCUUCCUUGUUGGCUUUGAUGUGCACUAUUGCAACCAAUCCAAGUUUAACCAGUGCAAAUACCAGUAACCAAAGUGAAUCCAAUAUCAAACAGAGAGGAAACUGGGUAGGGAUGGCUAGGCUGACCUUGGCAGUGGUGACAAGGCUAACUUCUGAAAGUUCAAGCCUAGCCUGUUGUUCGAGACUUCAUAGCCACACACACACUGUUGUUUAACUACUACAUGCAGUGUCUCCAGUCAUGUAGAUGCAAGUGGAGAUAUAAAGGGAAGACAGUAGUAUGGUCAAGAGACAUGUUUGAUGACUAUUUCUUCAUUCAUUUACGUAUUCAAUUCAUCAGUGAACUAUCAUAAACUGAGAAUCUCCUGUCUCUUUUCAACAAAGAAGACCAUGGAAGGGGUAAGAGUGACUAAGGUCUCUGAGGGAAGGAAAAGCCAUAUCAUUGGGCCGCAAGAGGGAAAAAGCAACAAAAGACAGAGACUUGUUGGUGCCAACUAAAUGAGCAAAACAGCGGUGACUAAAAAAACCACCACUGCACUAGAAAAACAAAACUAAACUAAAACUGCACCAAAGAAGUUUCCCAUCGGCUCUUGAGAACAGGUUCCUUAAAGGUGAACAAUAUGCCACAUACAAGGACUUUUUCAGCACCAUGCAUUAGCAAUUGAACUGGAUGUUUACUAUUUUUUAUAUAAGUUGGUUGAUACGGCUUUUCAGCUUCCCUCAGUAUCAUUAUCCAAAUUUUGUAGAUGACACUGAAGGUCAGAGGAGUUCAACCAUUUUCCUCAAAUCAUGUAGCUUUAAAUAGGAAAACCAGAUAGGAAAAGCAGAUUUCUUUUUAAAUUAAAAAACAAAAACACGAGCUCUCACUUUACCCUAGCACAUAGUCUCCCCAUCUGUUUUCUCCACACCAGGGCAUUCAUGUAACAUUCAUUCACAUAACAAAUACAGAUCAAUGAGUGGAUUCAUUCAUCAGAUAUGAAUUCAGAAUCUCCUUUGUGUCUACCACAGUAGGCUCAGGACUUCCCAGUGUCUUUGUCUCCUCUCCAUGAAAUCUCUCCACCCAAUGUCUUGACAAAUACUAUAGAUCCUUCCUGCACAACAUCUCCAGAAUUAUUUUCUUCCUUUUCACUCAUCUCUGUCUUCAUCCAUGCUACAGUGUUUCUGGAGGAUGCAUUCUGCACUAUGAAGUGUGAUGGACACUGGCGCUGAAGAAACACUCCUGCUGUCCACCUCAGGAGCUAACACAAUAAAUAUGGAUAAACCGCAAUCCUUUAAUGUCUUUAUGACUUCUUUCCCUUUCUCUCCAGGUACUGUUUUCUCAUGUUCAAACUCUGACAGUCAAAACUAAACACCUUUCUCUAAUAUGUUGCUUUAAUUAUUUAAGUUUUUUGUCUGGGAUUUUCUCAGUUACUCUUGAGUUUUCAUAAUACUCUCCCAGCUUAUCUCCAAGUGGCCAGGCUUUUCAUUCACUGCCUCCUCCAUGUGUAUUUCACACACACACAUAGCCUGGUUUUCUCCACCCUAUGUCCACUGCUUCUCUGCAUAGCUCAAUUUUGAUUCUUACGCUCUGUUAUUUUACAGAUUCUUACACUCUGAUGUGAUCUUGUCUCUUUUUCUUUACGGCUCUACUCUGCAAUUCUGUUGUUGUUGUUCUGACAUAUAGUUGGACCUGUAACUGGUACAUGGCACACCUUAGCAAGGAGGCAACCCACAUCUCAGAUGUUAGUAAAGGAAGCACCCUCCAGGCGUUUCCUAGUGUAGCGGUCAGCACGCUGGCCUCAUUCCUGAAAGGGCCUAGUUGUGAAAACAGCAGGAGCUUUUUGCCUUCAAGAAAUCUGCACCAUCUCACGACUCGGACAGUCUCAGCUACAAGGAGGAAGUGAUAAUGCCAUCCCACUUUUAUAAACACACACACACACACACACACACACACACACACUCAUUUAUUCAUUUUUGAUUAUUUAAUUUUUUCCUUUAAUCUGUGACACGUUAGCCAGGCAGGCCUAGACAGGUCCUGCUUUGCCGGGACGUGCCUUUUUCUGUCCUGGAAUACCCUAAACUUGACAUUUUGGCAGUGCAAGUUUUCCCUUUGUGAAUUUCUCCUUGUUCCCUUUUCUCUUGCUUCCUGGCAGAGAAUGCGUAGCCACUGUGCUCUUGCCCUGGGAAAUCAAUGAGAAGAUCUGCCCUUAGAGGAGCCCCGCUUUCAAAGCACUGAAGGCCCUGAAAUCACAUGUGUUCUCUGCCACCCACUAAGGACAAACAAAGCUGCUCCAACAAGGGGAAUUAGCUCAAGUGGUAGAGCGCUUGCUUAGCAUGCAAGAGGUAGUGGGAUCGAUGCCCACAUUCUCCAGACUUUAUUAUUUGGACCUCAGGUCUCUAAACCCGAGUCCGUGUCUGAGCACAGAAUGCUGCUUUGGCUCAAGAUGUAGGGACAGCAACAAUACAGGGCUGGUGACGGCUCUCUACUGGCAUUCAGGAUAGCAUAGAUCUACCAUGUAAUUAUGUUCUGUUUCUUCAGGGAGCUGUGAAGCCAAGGGACACAAACAAUUGCCCUUUUCUCCCUGUUUCUGCCUGCAGCUUGGUCCUAAAUGUGAGACGUUCGUGAAAAGUACAAGGAAGAGCCACCUGGGUAAGUACAGCCCCGGCUUUCUGGUCAGGGGACUGAAACCAGGAUGUGUCAAGUAACUAGAAUGUGCCUGGACAGAUACUGUAGAAAACAAACCCAUAAAGUUGUUUGUGAAACUGUGGCUGCCCCUGCCAGCUGUGAAUAAGUGACUCUAACCCCAACAAUUUACCUAGAAAGAGCCUGAGAACUGAACUGAGCAAGGCCCGCUUUCCAGUCCUCACUGAUCACUGGGUCACACACACUCCGGAGAUCUCUGAACAGCCCUGUAAACGCCUUGCAAGUAGAAUUAUCUUUGUAACAACACCACAUGGAAGGCUGGCUGGUACUUGGAACUUGAAUACAAGGCAAUUGUGUGCCUGCAAAAACAAAAACAGCAAUACUAUCCUUAAGAUUUCAACAAGACACAGUGUCUCCUCACAUGAUAUGAAGAAGUCCAGGUUACAGCCCCGAAAUAUUCAGCAUAAGAAACAACAGGGAGAUUGUACUUCACUUGGCAAAGAGAACCCUCAAGUAACAUUACUGAAAGGACACAAUGUCAAAAUCAUCUGACACAUGUGUUAAAGCAAUUGUUAUAACAAUGCUCCUAGAAUUAGGGGAUAACAUUCUUGAAGUGAAUGAAAAGGUGGAAAGUCUCAGAAAAUACAUGGAAUAUGUAAACACCAAUUUUAAACUUAACAGUUAAAAAAAUGUAUUAAUCAAAGUAUUAGGGCAAAUAAAAAGCUUAACUGGAUGAUCUGAAUAACAGAAUGCAGAUGACUAGAAAAAAAGUCAACAAACUUGAAAAAGAAGAAUACCUACAAAAUCUGAACUAUAUGGAGAAUGGAGUAUUUCUGUAAAUAAACAGAGCCUCAGAGACAAAAAAUAACAAAUCUAACAUUCCCAUUAUUGUAAUCUGGAAAGAAGAGGACAAAGAGAUCUUUGUGACAGAAAACUCUGAAGAAUUAAUGGCUGAAAAUGAAUCAAAUUUGUCAAAAAUAUAAACGAGAUUAUUAAAGUUCAGCAAAUCUCAAAGAGGAUAAACCCAAAGAAACCCAUAGCAAGUCAUAUCAUAAUCAAACUGCUGAAAACUAAGAAAAUACAAAACAAUUUUGAAAGCAGCCAAAAGAAAACGAAAGCAAAACUACCAUAUGAAUGACUGUAGAUUUCUCAUCAGGAAUCAUAGGGGCCAGGAAAAAAUGUCAUAACAUUCAGUAAGUA